rnacentral:lncRNA from 1 species
GGUCUACCUGUGCCAGAGAGGAUGUGGCAGGAGUGGCUGGGGCCGCACCACUUGUAGCUGUUACAUUUGGCAGAAAAAGAAACUUCGCUUCUUUCAGAUGGCUGAUUCUAUUUUCAAGUCUUCACCCACUGGGAAUGUUUUAGGCCUAUUAUUGAAAAUCCAGUGGGUGGAUGCAGCAGAGCUGAACAAUAAAGAACGCUGCCAUAGAGAGUUCUGGAAACUGAAAAUACAUCUUUAGGUAGUAAUAAUCAUGUUGGCAUAAGUUCACAGUUUUGAAAGUAGGUUUACACAUGCCUUAUUUAGCUUAAGAAUCAUUUUUCCCCAGAGGGAAUUGCGUAAUCUUGUGGUAUCCCGUUGUUUAGUUGUGUGCCUUAUGCCACUGUGACCAUCGUUGGAGAGCUUAAGCAUUUUCUUGAUUCGUUUGUCAGAUUGUUAAUCAGUGUCCCAGUUGAACCUGCUCCUGUAAAGUGUGGGGAUUCAGUAUCCACUCUCAACUCUUUAUUGUCUCAAUUUCUUCAAGGAAAAAUACCCUGCAGUCUGACCACUCCAGCAUUAAGAUGAUGCCUGGUUUGCAAUGAUAAAAUUAAAAACAAAACAAAACGCAAAGUUGUCUGGGCUUCCCCAACUCUUGGGCUAUUUCUUGGUGCCCAUCAAUGUACCCAACCAGGCCCCAUGGCCUUUUGGGUUUGUUCCUCUUUUUCUUUUAUUUAGUUCUAAUUUAGUUGGUUUACUGUACAUGUGGAAGAAGAAUCUUUUAGAAUCCCUCUUCCCUUUCUUCUCCCCACCUCUCUCCUCACCCACUUCUUUUAGAGUACAUUUUUCUUGAUCCCUUCUCUUUUAAAAAAUUUUAUUCAUUUUUCAAGGUGCAGUUUACAUAGACUAAAAUGCUGUCAUAAUUGUACAGUUUGAUAUUUUUUAUAUAAGCGCAUGCCUCUGUAACCAUCAGCCAGAUGAAUUUUAUUUCUGUCUCUCUAGAAAGUUCCAUCAUGCCAUUUCCCGGUCAUUCCCCUUCUCAUAAGUA